UGUCUCAGGAAGGAAGAGGUGG
rnacentral:piRNA from 1 species